rnacentral:rRNA from 1 species
GUUGAACGCUGGCGGCAGGCCUAACACAUGCAAGUCGAACGAGUGGCGGACGGGUGAGUAAUGUCUGGGAAACUGCCUUAAGGAGGGGGAUAACUACUGGAAACGGUAGCUAAUACGGCAUACCAUUAGCUGUGCCCAGAUGGGGUUUGCUUGUUGGUGGGGUAACGGCUCACCAAGGAGACGGUCCCGAGCUGGUCUGAGAGGGUGACCAGCCACACUGGAACUGAGACACGGUCCAGACUCCUACGGGAGGCAGCAGUGGGGAAUAUUGCACCAUGGGCGCAAGCCGGAUGCAGCCAUGCCGCGUGUAUGAAGAAGGCCUUCGGGUUGUAAAGUACUUUUAGCGGGGAGGCGUUACCCGCAGAAAAAGCCCCGGCUAACUCCGUGCCAGCCGCCGCGGUAAUUC